rnacentral:rRNA from 1 species
AGAGUUUGAUCAUGGCUCAGGAUAAACGCUGGCGGCGUGCCUAACACAUGCAAGUCGAACGUGCUCGGGCAACCGAGUGCGUGGCGGACGGGUGAGGAACACGUGGGUAUCUGCCUUGAGGUGAGGAAUACCAGCGAGAAAUCGCUGACAAUACCGCAUACGUUUCGGAAGAAACAAAGUCGUAAGACGCCACAAGAUGA